GGCCUGUGGCUCGGAGCUCCGUCCCCUGCUAUUGGCGUCGAAAUCGGACAGGGGGAGAGCUGCGGAAGGAGAGACACAGUAGCGUUUGCAGGCGGAGUAGGAGGGAGAUCCGGCGGAUAAGGGGGAGAAGAGAGCCGGAGUCCAUUCUCCGCGACUCGCCGUUGCCGUUGCCGGACCGGAAGGGAGAGCCAGCAAUGGUGGGAUAUCGCGGAGGGACUAUGCUGCAAAAAAUGGACCGCGAUUAAUAAUCACGAUCCGUUUUAGAGAGCUAUAUGCAAAAUAUUGGAUCACCAUUAAUAAUUACGAUCCAUUUUAGGGGUGUUUAUGUAAAACAAUGGACCGCGACUAACCAUCGUUAUCCAUUUUAGGGGGUUUAAUGAAAAAUAUUAGAUCGCGGUUAACAAUCGCGAUCCAAGUCAGGAGGUUUUAUGUAAAAUUUGUUGACCACAGUCAAUCCUCGGUGGCCACGCUUGUGCCGUGGCCAUGGCGGCUCGGUGCUCCGCCAACCUCCAUCGCGAACCCACACACCCAGAUGAGAAGAAGGUAGACGAGAGAGAUGGAGGUGGCGGGCUCGAGCUCCGGGCGCUGUGCAGCACAGCGAGUCCGUGCCUGAACAGGGAUAGGCGGCGGCGGCGCGACAGCGACGGGCGGGGCGAGUGGGCGCGGUCGUGGUACCUGAACAGGGAGGGGAUCGAGCGCGGCUCGCUGUCGCGGCCCAAGAAGCCAAACUUUAUCUGGGCCACCUACUGCUCCUUCGUCCGCGACGUCUGCCUCAGGCUUCAGUUAAAACUAACCGACUGUGAGACAGUGGCUUCGCCCUUGACGUGGAUAGCAUCAUUCCUCAAAUGCCAGGCGCGCCAAAAAAACAGAAGAAUACAAGCACAGGUUUCAUCAUUCACUGAAUUGAGAAGCACCUGUAGCCAAGCCGUGCCAGUAUAAGCAAAUUCCGGUUCGGAGGGCAGAUCCCAGACCUCCCUCAUCGCCUCCCGCAGGGCUUUGGCCUUAAUGCACCUCACCACAGCAUGGAAUCCAUCUUCCUCCGCGUUUCCACACAGGGAGCACGUCGGGCAGGGAGCCAAAGUUCAACGCCAACGGCUCAUCUGUGUGAUGCCAUUUUUUUUUUCUUGCUGCAGGCUGCAGAUUACAAUGGCAACGCUAUCGUGCUCUUCCAUCGCUUUUAUCUCCUUCAAUCUCUUGCCAAGAACGAGAGGCAAGUAAAGAUAUUUUAAUAAUGUAUGCCUGGCGCUUCCAUGGCACCACCCAAUAUUUCUCUGAGCUUUAUAUAGAAUGUAAAUUGGUCUCUGAAGAUGUGAUAUCCCUGAUAAUUAAUGCUAAUCUGCUUUCUCCAACGCGAGAUCAUGCUAUGGACUAUAUAUCCUAGCAGAGAAAGGGAGUAUUUUGUUUCUGUACAGGAUCUUAUCUAGUCUUGAUGAUUGGUCGGGAGUAGAAUUGCAGGUUCCUCCAAAUUUCCAAAAGGGAACUAAUGUUUCAGGGGCCAAAUGGGAUCUUAUCGCUUAUUACCAUGCAUGAUGCAUCCCGUAACUAACACUUUAGCACAAUUGCCCAAAGCAUCCUUGCAUGACUGUAGCAACCUAGCUACAAAGCAAGUUUAAUUUGUUGACAUAAGGAGCUUGACCUUGGUGCAAUGGCUUCCACAUUGUCGCGGUAAAAUGGAUGCCUACUUAUUUUGUCUACAGGGUCACUAACUAGAUUUUUGUCAUGUUCUGACACAGAGAGAAUAACGAAUUUCUUUUUCUUGUCUAAUUUCAAAGCGUUCACAUUUUGCUUUACGACCAUCAGACCCUAACAUUAGUACAUUACCUGACUAUGUACCUUUGUUGGUGUUAAUCGAGGGUAGUGUGUCAUAAGAAAAAUAUAUAUACAGAGUGUGUAUACAUGUACAUUCAAGCUGGCUUCGUGUUAAUACGUCCAUGGCUCUACGCAUGUGCAUUAUAUGAUCUACUGGUCUUUCGAGUGGCAUAAAUUGCCUUGGUGUUUUUUUUAUGAAAGAUGUGUUGAAAUUAUUAGAAUCCGAACAAGUAAUUGCGGAGAUUCAUGCCGGAAUGUCCACUUUGCAUUUUUACCAAGAAGGUGAGCAAUUUGCCCUUCUUAAAUAAUUGGUCUGGAUGUGAGUUAUAGCUUUAAGCAAUUUACCUGGAGCACCUAUAUUGCAAUCGUGGACAAAGGUAUGAUUCUUUUUUAGCAACUCUAUCGAACUUGAAGCAGCACUUUCCAAUAAUAACCAUAUCAGUAAGUAUUAGCAACUUGUUAUACUGAUAUUUAAUUUCUUCUCGGUAACUCAUAUCAGAUUCAUGUUCAAUUCUUCUUUCUUUCAUCAGUAUAUAUCCCUUGAAAUUUAGCACAUAGUUGAGUACCUAAAAUAUAGAAACACAAAUUUAUACAAUUCGCUCCAUUCUAUUGGUUCUUUAUUCUUUAACAGUUGAAAGUUACUCACCAACUCUUUGUUCUUCCAGACUGUUGCAACUGUUUGUGUAUUUCUUCCUUUAAAGAUUGAAGACACUAGACCCACCUUGCCCAUUAGAAUGAGUUGUCAUUGUGCAUAUGAAACAAUGUAUCGGGAAAACCCUGAUGCUGCUAGCAGAAUCUACCAGAAGAUACUCGAAAUUUUACAUCCUUCGUACUAUAGUUCUGUUUGUUUUUUAUUCUGAUUAUAGAUUCUAGUCCCCAAAGAAAAAGCAAAAACAAACAAUCACAAUAUAAAAGCUGAUUCUCACAAUCUGCAAGCUAAGUUUUACUACGAAAUUCUACAAUCUACAAUCUGGUGGGAAUGAGCUUCCACUGAUUCUACGGAAUGGACUGGAUUCUCACAAUCUGAAGCUAAAACAAAAGUCCUAUUACUCUUGACACUUAGCCUGCUGUUUUGUGAUAUUUUGGGGCUUUGCUGUUGUGUAACUUUUUCAAUUAAAAACAGGAAAUUCUUGAGAAGCAAAAGCCCUAAUUUUGGUAGGGGAGACAUUAACCCUAAUUUUAAUGAAGACAAGUGUCAUAAAGAAGGCAUCUAACCCAGUUUGUAAUGAAGAUCUGACUUUAGGUUUCAGGAAUCCAGCAAAUCCUAUCAAGCUAGUGAGUAUCUGAUAAUAUAAUAAACAAAUAUUUGAUGGAGCAGGUUUGAAUCCUGAAGGAUGCAAAAUUGAGAAUAAUUGUCUCGUUUCUGAAACAGGAGAUUUUCUACAAGGACAGUUUGUAACGAAGACCUGACUUAAGCUUUCAAGAAUCCAGCAAAUCCUAUCAAGCUAGCGAGUAUCUGAUAAUACGCUAAACAAACAUUUGAUGGAUCAUGUUUGAUUCCUGAAAGAUGCAAAAUUAAAAAUAGUUGUUUCGUUUCUGAAACAGGAGGUUUUUGACAAGGACACCUUCAGUAAAGAUGACAGGACGGGUGAUGCGGAGUUCGACAUCGAACCGCUGAUGCAAAUCAUUCAGAUGGAUCUGGAGGACAUCCACAGCAGCACCGUGUGGCCGAGCAGGACAUCCUCCUCAAGUUGAGAAAUGCUUCAGACUAUGUUGGCAGCCAUCUCCGUCAGGAAGCUGUUCCACCAAGGAUGCGUACAGACAUUUGCUGAACUUGCAGCACCAACCGCUGCAAAUCAAUGGAAGAAGGGCAAUUUCAGCUGACACCCUGAGUAUCCUCAAAGCAGCCUGGACUCCGGAGAGACAAGCUCCUGCAGCAUCGCAUCAAGACAUUUGCAUGGCGAUUGAGCAGGUCAUGGAAUCAUGCCACCAUUUUCACUAGUAGCUGCUGAUAUGGAGUCGUUGAUAAAAAAUUAGAUGGCUCAAAAAUAAAAUAAAAUCUAACAGACUCAAUUUGUUCAUGCAUAUUGAGUCGACUGUAGAGGAAUGAAACAAUCAAGCUCAUGUGGUAUUGACACAUGUAUUGCGUAUUGGUACUAUAUGAGCUGCUAUGUUUGCUUUAUUUAGCUUGCGUGCUUUCUUAUGUUACUGUAACAUGUAUUGGCACAUGUGAUUCAUUUCUAUAAUGAAAACAAGUGGUAAUUUCAAAUGCAAGUCUUGUUUGCAAGAGCUAAUUUGUGAUUCUAUCUGGCACUGGAUGAGUUGGCUCUUGAUGUUUCCUGAAAAUUCGACAUGUGGACAUCACCAAUGUCAAAUUUUGGUUCCAAUGAAACUGAAGCUAGCUUCCUUGCUUUUUGCUGCUGCCCACCAGUUCCCUUCACUAGAGAAUUCCCAUGUAUUUGAGAUGGAAGGAGAUGGAUAAAUUUUGGGCUAUUUGGAUUGAGGUCCUUGCGUAAUU